AAUGGUACAAGAGUUUAUGAUUCUAAAGAGAGAAAAAAGCAGAGUCUGUUGCUUGUUACCUUCUUUCUUAGUUCCUUGAAAAAUAAAUGAGCCAUCUUUCUCUUCUGUCAUUUAGUGAGAAAGGACUCCCAUAAAUACAUUUUUCCCUGCCUAGAGAUAGUGAGAAGUGACAGGCACUUCAGAUUCUUACUUGUCUGAGAGCACAGAUGGAUGCAAAUUUGUGGCCCACUAGGUGAUCGGUUCUACCUAAUUUUGCUCUUUUCCUGAGCCUCAGGUGAAGCCUCAGCCUUGUUUCAGACUGUCAAAAUCAAGAAGCAAAAUUCUUGGGCUGUAAAAGGCAGAGGGAGUCCAGCUACACUUGCCUGCCUAGCACAGCUAUGCAAUACACAAAGGAAGACGGCAGAGAGAUGACUCAUACAAAUAUAUAGUAAAUAAAUAUAUUUCAUUUCCAUCUCCCUGGCUUUGUUUUCCUCCCCUCCAUGCCAACAGCCUUGAAAUGGAAGGAGGUUAAGGAAACCUGAUUUGGUGUCAAACACAGCCUCAGAAGGUACUGAUUUUUAUGACCUUGCUUCUCAGCUGUAGCUUUUUUAGAAGGAACUUGCAGAUUCUUAGACUAGGAGAAGC
rnacentral:lncRNA from 1 species